UACGAAGGGUGCAAGCGUUACUCGGAAUUACUGGGCGUAAAGCGUGCGUAGGCGGUUCGUUAAGUCUGUCGUGAAAGCCCUGGGCUCAACCUGGGAAUUGCGAUGGAUACUGGCAGCUAGGAGUACGGUAGAGGAUGGUGGAAUUCCCGGUGUAGCGGUGAAAUGCGUAGAGAUCGGGAGGACACCCGUGGCGAAGGCGGCCAUCUGGACCAGUACGUGACGGCUGAGGCACGAAAGCGUGGGGAGCAACAGG
rnacentral:rRNA from 1 species